rnacentral:lncRNA from 1 species
UCGUCAGUGCCUCAGCCGUUGACACCGCCGCGCCACGUCAGUAAGUGGAAACGUAUUUUAUGGAAGUACGCUUUCAGUUAGCAGAAACGUAGUUCUGCUCCUCCUUGGAACAGAAUGCGUUUUCCUCUUCCGAAAGCGUAUUUCCUUUCUUCUUCGGUUGCAAAUGCGUUUCUCCGUUCUGAAGGCGUAUUGUCUAAAAUACGUUUUCUCUUUUUCAGCCCAGGGGCCUGUUUGUAGAGUUUAUUUUACAGAUUGGUUCUGGAUUUCAAACGCUUAUAUCUUUUUGCUCGAGACUCCAAAUGAGGUGAUUCCAAAGCCCACUUCUUCGUCUCGUCGAGCCCGUUCUGUUGGUUUCAUUUUCACUAUGGUUUGACACUGUGAAAAUGACCUUUUUGCCCUUGCACGUAAACAGCCCCUCCGAGAGAGAACUGUUUCUGGCAAAUUUUUCCGCGGCUUCACCGCACUUCUUCCCGGUGCCUUCUUCAUCCCCAUGCAAGCCACAAUACCCACUUGCAUGAUAGUCAUGCAAUAGCCAUGGUUUUCAACUUGAAUAUUUAUUAAAUGUUGCUUGUUUAAAAUAUGGUUAUCAUUGUUUGGGUAAUGCUUCUGGGUUAGUGCUUACUUGCUUGCUAUAUUGUUAUGGACCUGGUUAGCAUGUCCUGCUAGUUUCUAGUAUUACUUUCAUAUUGCCAUGCUUGAUAGUAGUACAUGUUGGGUUGGUCAUGUUCUUCGGUGCAUGACUAACGUCGGUUAUCGAGUACUGUUAAUAUGCGUUGUUCCUUUGCUGUUAGUUGGUUAAGUGUUACUCGGUAAUGUUAUUGAUGAGUCCUUGCAUGGUAUUUAUGGUUGAUGCUAGUGGUCAUGUUAUACCAUGAGUAGUGUUGCACUUGUAAUAUUUAUGCUCGUCAUUAUGCCAUGUUCAGUUUGAGAUUAUUUCAUAUGAUGGAUAAUUAUGUUGCAUCCCGUGCUUAUGUUGAUAUCAUGCUCAUGCUUUGUAUAUGCAUCAUGUUAUUUUAUCAUGGCUCAGCAUAUUGCAUUCAAAUUUAACCGGAUUAAAUUCAACUUGAACAACUGUUGGCUGAGUCAUGGUGCCACCAUAUCGAAACUGACCAGUGCAACCACGCUUACCUUAUGGGGAGGUCCUAACUGGGUCUAUUGUCGUGCCUCUUGCCGGUGCCUCCAACUAGGGAAGGUUAUGGGCGUGCGUACCCUGAUCAGGUAAGCAGACAUAACCUUGUGUGCCCGUUGUUGUUAUUUUUAUGGAUCCGGUCCCCGUGAGGGACGUUUGGCCACAACGGUGGUCGUUGUGUCUUUGGUAGACACGGGGCCACCCAGGACUAGCCCUGUUGGGAGUGGGUCGGAGUGGCCGGGAGAGUGUCAUGACAAUAGAUCGGUUUUGUCGGAACACCGUUGGUCCACCCGAAUGGGAGUGCGAGGCCAUGGGUUCCGUGGUGUGGGUACAGUGUACUAUCCUCUGCAGAGUGUAUAUUAAAUCUAUGGAUAGCCGCGCCCGCGGAUAAGGUCCCAGUUCGUGUCGGUCCCACCGUGAGUCAAUAGUAUUAAUAAUAACUUGAUCAAUGACAACCCCGGUUCGAUGAUGAGAUAAGUUGGUUGUGAUCGCCGGAAAGAUCACCGUUUCAGACCAAGUGUUGGUCAUGGUUGUGAUCGCCGGAAUGAUCACCGUGGUAUCAAGGAUACCGAGUUGUUGGAUAUUCGUGAUGUUGUGCGAGAAUCGUGGGUAAAGAUCAAGCUCAUUGUGGUCAUUUAAUGAUUACUACAGUAUUGUUUAUACCAAGCUUGAUUUGAUCCUCAGAUGAUCGUGUGAUGCCCGAGGAUGCUAAGUGAUGCAUGUGAUGGUUACAAAGUAACCCGAGCAGAAUAAAUAGUGCAUAUAGUGUCAUCAUGUUGCAUGCUAGUAGCGUCAGAUCUAUAUGUUCAUGCCAUGCUCAUGUUGUUCUACCUAUAUCAUGUUCAUGUUGUUCAUGCCAUGUUAUUCUGAUGAUCUCAUGUUAAUUCCUGCUUAACCUGUAAAUGCCAUGCUGAUGUUUGUCUUUAAUGCUUCUUGUUAUUGUGAGCUUGCAAGUACAUUCAAUGUACUGACCUGGCGUGUCAUGCCAGCUUGCAGGUCGUGCCUGGAUUGCUUGCUUGUUUGGUGUGUUCCGGUGUUCGUGAGCUAGGAUAAGCGUUCCAGCCAGAGUCCCUGCGGAGUGGAGUCCAUCAUCGCCGUUCGUUUUUCCGCUGCCAGUAGUUGUUCCGCUACCUCAACUUGUUAUGCUUCUUGCAUAGAGCAACUGAGGAUGCCGUAGUGUCGCCGUGCCGAUGUUAUUCAUUGUAAUAUUCGAGACCUUGUAUUCAUAUUCGUGUAAUAAUAGUAAGCUGGUUUGUUCUAUGCUAAGCUGUGCCGUAUUCCAGAAGACUUCUCCUCGAUCUCUGGGCUGGAAUACGGGGCGUUCCGGUUUUCUCUGAGCCGGGGUGCCACACCUAUUAACCGGAGGCCCAGCCCAGAAUUGUAGUUUUUUGCCUAUUUCAGAGUUUCGCAGAAAAAGAAUAUCAAACGGAGUCCAAACGGAAUGAAACCUUCGGGAACGUGAUUUUCGGAACGAACGUGAUCCAGAGGACUUGGACCCUACGUCAAGACAUCAACCAGGAGGGCACGAGGUAGGGGGGUGCACCUACCCCCCUGGGCGCACCCUCAACCCUCGUGGGCCCCAUGUUA